rnacentral:rRNA from 1 species
UGAGGCCUCUGGGUCCACCUCCCACCCGUGUUUAACUGUACCUUGUUGCUUCGGCGGGCCCGCCUCACGGCCGCCGGGGGGCUCUCCUGCCCCCGGGCCCGCGCCCGCCGAAGACACCAUGUGAACGCUGUCUGAAGUAUGCAGUCUGAGAAAACUAGCUAAAUUAGUUAAAACUUUCAACAACGGAUCUCUUGGUUCCGGCAUCGAUGAAGAACGCAGCGAAAUGCGAUAAUUAAUGUGAAUUGCAGAAUUCAGUGAAUCAUCGAGUCUUUGAACGCACAUUGCGCCCUCUGGUAUUCCGGAGGGCAUGCCUGUCCGAGCGUCAUUGCUGCCCUCAAGCACGGCUUGUGUGUUGGGCCCUCGUCCCCCCGGGGACGGGCCCGAAAGGCAGCGGCGGCACCGCGUCCGGUCCUCGAGCGUAUGGGGCUUCGUCACCCGCUCGUUAGGCCCGGCCGGCGCCAGCCGACCCCCCCUCAAUCUUUAACCAGGUUGACCUCGGAUCAGGUAGAUCCAU